rnacentral:rRNA from 1 species
UACGAAGGGGGCGAGCGUUGUUCGGAUUUACUGGGCGUAAAGGGCGCGCAGGCGGUUCUGUUUGUCGAGUGUGAAAGCCCCGGGCUCAACCUGGGAACUGCAUUUGAGACUGCGUAGCUAGGGUGCGGAAGAGGGAAGCGGAAUUUCCGGUGUAGCGGUGAAAUGCGUAGAUAUCGGAAGGAACACCAGUGGCGAAAGCGGCUUCCUGGUCCAGCACCGACGUUCAGGCACGAAAGCGUGGGGAGCAAACAGG